AAUUGAAUCAGUCGCUAUACUGUAUUCGUAGACAAAAGACAUCGUCUCGAUUAUGGAACCAUACAAACAUCUACAUAGGUUUCAAAUAGCGACUCACUCGUUUGUCGUUUGUAAAUUAAAAUCGAUUUUCUGAAUUCAAAUCAUCGAAUUCAACUCAUUCAAACGACAAACGAAGACUUGGUUAAAACGUUUAGUUGAAAUAUCUGGCUGAUCAGAUAACUCAACUGAUGGAAAAUUGAAGGAAAAAUAAUUUAAAAAAAAUAAAGUUAAUUUUUUUGCAAAAGGAAUUAAUUGGAUUCUGGUCAAAAGAAUUUAUUUGAUAUGUAUUUCUUCUUGAUAUUUACUUGGUUGUAAAUGACCGUCCUCCAAUUAAGUUCUUCCCCCAGAAGCAAUUCUAAAUGGUGCGUUUAUAUUCGCAAUCCCAAAUAUACGAAUAUAAACUUGUUUUGCAUCAUCCGGAAUUGAACCCAAUACUCUUCUAUAGCGGUCGCUGCUGUAACAGCUAGGCUACAGAAGAGGUGAUUGUGUGAUGCGCUAAAACAAUAAACGAACGACAAACGAGAUUAUCUACCGCAAAUUUACUACGAAAACGUAAAAAUUUCAUUCACAGUUGGUCCAAAUACGCAUGACAAACAAGCUAACUCUUAUAACAAACCAAUCAUAACAUGAAUCUCACUUGGCCGAGAGGUUAAUCACUUGACCGUGUAAUUGUUUGGUCGUGAGUUCGAUCCUGUCCCAUCGAUUUUUUUUUUCCGAUAUUAUUUGUAACACAAUUUUCUAUAAAUAAAUAAAUUAAAACUACAUUAAAA